rnacentral:sRNA from 1 species
CAUGCAUUAAAAAUAAUGAAAUUAGUAGGAAAUUAUAUGAAAUGUGAAAUAUGUUUAUUGGAAACAGUUGCAAACUAAUGGAAACUAAUCAACAAAUAGGUGUUUUGCAUAUGUGAUAUUCAUUUGCUUGUAUCUAUUUGAACUAUUACAGGCAGCUAGUUUAUUGCUGCAGCUCAGACAGAAGUGGCAUAGCUUAUUUUUACGCCGAAUGAGAGCUCCAUCCAAACCUUGGUCUCAAGUUGAUGAAGCUACCAUAAGAGCAAUUAUAGCUGUUUUAAGCACUGAAGAACAGUCUGCAGGUUUACAACAACCAUCUGGGAUUGGCCAAAGGCCAAGGCCUAUGUCUUCAGAAGAGCUUCCUUUGGCUUCAUCUUGGAGGUCAAAUAAUAGUAGGAAAAGUUCAGCAGAUACUGAAUUUUCUGAUGAGUGUACUACUGCAGAAAGGUAAAUUUAUGACAUUUUACCAAAAUGGAUCACUUUUUAUUCAGGAAAAUGAAUUAUUUAUCUUAGAAUCUUGUGCUUUUAUAAUAUUUAAAAAUUACUUUUUUAUAAUCUAAGAUCCAUGAAAAGGUAGCAAUAAAGUGGAAAGAGUUUUCUACUUGUCCAACUUAAUUCUUCUAAGUAUUAAGGUAAUAUGAAUUUUAAACUAUUGGUAUCUGUGAGUUAUUUAAUAAGGCAACUCUUUGUCAGGAAAAGGUCAAAAUAUCUAAUUUCUAGAAUUGGGUCUCUCAAAAAUAUAUAGACAUUUUAAAAUUAUAUAUUUUACUUGAUAUAUGUGAAGUAACAUUUUACCUAGAUACCCUGAGCCAUACUGGCUAUGGCCAUUUAAAAGAACAACCUCCUUAUAAGCCUUAUCUAGAUAUCAAUACUGCUGAGUAGCAUUCCUAUAGAAAAGUACUUCACUCAGUGACACAUUGAAUGCCAGUUCUUGGUGUGAGGGAUCUAGAAGUGUACAAAACAGGUAAGAUCUCCUCCAGAGGAUAUACAUUUGAUUGAGGGGAGGCAUAUAAUAAGUAAACAAAUUUACUGUCAUAUGACAAGAUUUCUGUUAUAAUUUAGCCAAAUUCUUCUUCUUUUGCAAUUAAAUGUGGUGGUGUUUUUGUUUAUUUUAUAAAUAUUAAUGAGAUACCGCAUACUGAAUUAUUUAUGUAAAAAAUAUAUUUUAGUAAUAUGAUAGUGGUUACAAUAAAUCAUUGGCCAUGAUUCAGAAGUGUUUCUGGUUAUAAAAACAUUUGUUAGAAUCAAAUUUAAGUUAUUUUAUAAUGAGGUUUUCACCUUGUUAAAAUUCAUAACAAAAAACAUUCUUGGCUAUGAGGCUAGUUUUGGCAAUACUGGUAGAAAAGUCUCUGUAGUAAGAAUUUGAUUUUAUAGUUAAACUGAAAAUAGAAACAAUGGAAACAGAAAAGAUACAUAAUGCUUACUGUUUUUCAAGGAUCAGGUGGGGUUUUUAGUACCUUUUUUGAUCAGAUUUUUGUAUAUUUGAAUGAAAUAUAAAUGCUUAAUAUCAUCCUUUAAGACUUUAAAGAGGAAUAAAACAUUGGUUUCCAUGUUCUUCAGAUAUUACAUUUUAGUAAUAAUUUAACCAGUUUCCAAGAAAAACUUGUAAAAUGUGUGCCUGAACCUUUCUUUCUGGUCUAGACCCUGCUGAGAAAAAGGGGAAGACUAAAAAGUAAUUUUUUUUACUUAGAUACACUGCACUUUUUGAAAAUAUUGUUCUAGAAUUUUCUUGAGCAUUAGUUAUUUAGGAUGUGGGAAUAUAUUUCCAUAGGAGUUAUUCUGUGGUAGAGUUAUUCCUAAACCAGCCUAUGAAAAAUUGUUAGAUUCAAGAAACGUGACAUACUAAUAUAUAAUGCAUGAGUGUUCCUUGUAUGCUGAUUCAAAUGAAUCAAUAAUUUGAGACAAUUGAGGAAAUGAUAAUUUUAUUGGGAUUGGUAACCACUUUGGUUAUGUAAGGACAAUGCACCCAUUUUAACAGAUGCAUAUUUAAAUAUGGAAGGAUAAAAUGACAUGAUGUGUGGGAUUUACUUUUAAAUAUGUAAGCCAAAAUAGAAAGGAAGCAAGAAAGAAAAAAAAUAAUGUUAGGUAAAUCAAGUAGGUGAAAUGUUCAAGGAACUAGUCAGUGGUACUGUGAGAUGUCCUACAUUCUGAAUUUGUCUGUUUUUUUCCUGGCACUAUUUAUUUCUAUACCCUAUGUAUCUUUUUUAUUUAUUUAUUUUUAUAUUUUAUUUUUGAGACAGUCUCACUCUGUCGCCCAGGCUGGAGUACAGUGGCACGAUCUCAGCUCACUGCAACCUUUGCCUCCUGGGUUCAAGCAAUUCUCCUGCCUCAGUCUCCUGAGUAGCUGGAAUUACAGGCGCACGCCAACACGCCCGGCUAAUUUUUGUAUUUUUAGUAGAGAUGGGGUUUCAACAUGUUAGGCUGGUCUCGAACCCCUGACCUCGUAAUCUGCCCACCUCGGCUUCCCAAAGUGCAGGCGUGAGCCACUGCACCCGGACUCCAUACCCUACGUAUCUUACGUAAGCUGGUGGUUAGCUCUUAGGGUGUGAUUUGAUCCAGUGUUUUAACAAGAAUAUUUUACAGGUGGUGUUGUGAACUUUAUAUUUCAAUACAUCAGGAAGUACUUAAUGUCUGUCCCAGAAAGACCCAUACUUUAAGAAAAAUUAUGAAAUUCCUGACUACCAUGUUUGUGGCAUUUAUUCAUAGAAUUUUAGAAUAGAAAAAUCUUAGAGUUUAGAUAUAAUCCUUUUAUUUUAUUUAACAGAUAAGGAAAUUAAAGCUCCGGUAAGUUACGAGUCUUGCUCAGGAUCUCAUACCUAGUUAGUUGUAAAUUUAGAACUGCCAUAGAAAUCUAUAUUUCCUGACCUUAGUAUUUUUAAAUAAUAUUCCAUAAAUCAUAAGAUCAUUGGGACUUUGGAUUGAAAUGGCAUGUGCUUUGUAUUAUAAACUUAUACAUAACUGAUCUUUGUAUGACGGACUUAUAUAUAACUGAUCUUUGCUUCCUCCUUCUUGCUCAAGAGUACUGAUGAAAUCUCCAUCUCCAGCAUUACACCCACCUCAGAAGUACAAAGAUAGAGGAAUUUUACAUCCUAAACGAGGCACUGAGGACCGAUCAGAUCAGUCUUCGGUGAAAUCUACAGACAGCAGUAGUUACCCAAGUCCUUGUGCUAGUCCUUCUCCUCCAUCCUCAGGAAAGGGCUCAAAAUCUCCUUCACCAAGACCAAACAUGCCUGUUCGAUACUUCAUAAUGAAGAGUAGCAAUUUGAGAAACCUUGAAAUUUCUCAACAGAAGGGUAUCUGGUCUACAACUCCUAGUAAUGAACGGAAGCUAAAUCGAGCCUUUUGGGAAAGCAGCAUGGUUUACUUGGUAUUUUCUGUUCAAGGAUCUGGACAUUUCCAGGGAUUUUCUAGGAUGUCUUCUGAGAUUGGAAGGGAAAAGAGUCAGGACUGGGGCUCUGCUGGACUAGGAGGAGUAUUUAAGGUGGAGUGGAUACGAAAAGAAAGCCUUCCCUUUCAGUUUGCACACCAUUUACUCAAUCCAUGGAAUGACAACAAGAAAGUGCAGAUAAGCAGGGAUGGGCAGGUAUACAAUGGCAUUUUUUUUUUUUACUUUUGUUUCUGUUUGUUUUCUGUUAUCCAGUGCUUUAAUUGAGGACAAAAUGUAAGAGUACAAAUUUUAUAUUCCAUAUGCACAUGGGAAACAGGGGUUCAGGUGUGUAAAAAGCUAGUAAAAACCUACUUGUAAAUGUGUCUGAUUGCUCGUUGCAGUCAGAGUCUCAAGAUGACAAUAGUAUUUAACUUCUCUUUGGCUUUAAUUAUGUAAAGUAAAUAACCUUUUUAUAUUCUAGGGGCUUGUUUAUUUCUAUUAUGUUUUGCUUUGUCUUCCUGAUGCUACUUACAUGCAUUUUAAGCUAGUUAAGAUGAUGGAAAUUAAUAUAUAUUGACCAAAUACUAUGCUAGCUGCUUUAUAAGAUAUAAUGUAUUUCUUAUGAUUAAAUUAUUAGUCCAAUUUUAUGUAGGAGAAAAUAGACUCAAAGAUUAGUUUUGCCUAAGGUCACACAGCUAAUAAUUUAUCUGAACCAGUAUGACUCGUUUCAAAUCACCAUGUAAAAAGUGUUUGGGUUCUUAAGUGCUUGUCAUAGGUAUCAUUCCACAGGAGUACUAUGAAGUGGGAUUCUUUUCAAUUGUGUGAGAAUCAUUUCAUUUUUAUUCUAUAAUAAUGAUUUUGAAGAAAUAUGUUAGCUAGAAAUAAUUCUUAGAAGAAAAAAUAUUUUAAUAGUUUUCAAGAUAAGAAGAUAUAGUUGCUUAAGAGAGUUUCUUGGAAAAAACCCAACAUUGAAUAUGCUAGGUUUCACAGUAAACCUUUGGAAGUUCCAGCUGAGUGCUUUUGCUGAAUCUCUAUUAAAAACAAAAUCCAUUAUUUUUAGGUAGAAACAGUUCCAGAAGGACUCCAUGGGAAUCUGUUGCCAUUUUGUCACAAAAGUUGAGAGAUUUUGCAGAUUAACUGUAAUCUUAAAUCUGGAAGUCAACUCCAUAAACCUUAAAGCAAAGAAUUAGAACAAUUCAUACCAUGUGAUUUUAGCAUAUGCUGGUAGGAAAAUGAAAUUUAAAGAGAUUUUCUUACAUUUUUAUCAGUAUAGGUUUUGGUCAUUAAAAAUUUUUAAUCCAGUUCUUUUUAUGUUUAUUUUGACUUCUGAUUUAUCUAGGAACUAGAACCUCAGGUUGGUGAACAGUUGCUCCAGUUAUGGGAACGUCUUCCCUUGGGAGAAAAAAACACAACUGAUUGACACUCAGGUUAUACCAUCUUGACUUUGAGUAUUGGCAGUAUUUGUGAUCAUUAGGAACCUUUCAGAUUAUUUAUCUUUUUUUUUCCCCUUUCUUCUAGAACUCUUAGCUGUGGAAGAACAUCAUGCCUAUUUAUAACCACUGAAUGCACUGACUUUCAAAAACUGAGAUGGGGUGUGUGUUACGAAUGGGCUUUUUAACACUUUUAGAGUGUUGCUUUAGAACUACCAUCUUCAUAUACAGGAGAAAGGAAUCAUUUAAAUUUUUAUAGUGAUCAUAGAGAAUGAUUAUAUGAUGUUUGUAAUGAAUAAAAUAGUUUCAUUAUUUGGCACAAUAGCAGUUUAUUUUAAACAAACUUAAUUUGAAGUUAAACAUUUCAUUUUUAAAAACACUGAAUUACAGUUCUUAUUGAUGACUUUUUAAUGCAGAGUAAGUUGUUUAAGAAAGGCCUGAAUAUAUCAGAACAUCUGAGCACAAUUUUAGAAGAGUCAACUCUUAAGAUUAUCAUUAGAAAACAAAUACAUCAACACCUGUGAAAAGAAGCGGGGAAAACAACAACAAGGACAACAAAAAACCAAUGAAAUUCUACAAAUGUCCCUUUUAAAAAUAGUAUGUGCGAAGGGCUAUUCAUUCUGCCAUUUUUAACUUGUGACACAUUAAGAAAAAAGUUGGAUGUUCUUUUUCUGUGAUUAUGAAAUGCAAUAAAAUCUGAAUAAAGGGCAAAGUUUCUUCCUGAUCAGAUUAGAUCAAGUGCUUAGUUUUAUUCCUUAUUCUGCCCCUUUUAACCUGAUGUGUACCUUACUCUUUCCUCCCUCUCUUCCUCCCUUCCUCCUCUCCCCACUCCUUUCCUGCAUUUCUCCCUCCCUCCCUCGUCACAUCUCUUAUAUGAGCACAGUAAUUAUGACCUUUUUGUUUUGGCUACAACUUGAUUGAAACAAGUUCAAAAUUUAAACAAGUUCAUACAAGUUUUUAAAAAUUCUCAACUGGUAGCUUGCUUGCUGUGCAUCUUCCAAACUAAAGCCUGCAAGCACCACAAUUCUAAGUGCUGCCUUCCAUUUUUUUUCAGUAUGUUUUCACUGGCUUAUGUUUUCAGAUAUGAUUUUCAUUUUUCGCAUAUAUGGUUUAAUAAAUGGGGGAUAAUUUUUUUUUUUUGUAAACCCGUGCUUGUGCCAAGUCUCAUAUUUCUUUGCCAUCUCAGAAUUAUUUAUCUUUUUACCACCACUGUUUAUAAAAUUUCCUUAGAGACUUUUUGAAGGAAAAUAGAGCAACAGGGAAAAAUGAAAGAAAUGUCUUGGUUACUGAGCUCUAAAUAGACAGGUUUCAUAGCACUUCUCAUGAUACAUUUUAGUUAUAAAAGCAAACAAGCAAACAUGAGUGUAAAUUAAAGACAAAAAGAAAACUCUGGUUUUAUAUUUGAGAACAGAUGAAAAAUCAUGGGUCAACAUAAAAUCUUGACAACCUUCUACUUUCUCUGGGAGAGCAUUAUAUAGUGGUGCAUUAGUUUAGAAAGUCAGCUAUGAUUUUGCCUAUAGUUCUAGUUAUUUGCUUUGGGGUUUUCUUGUACUUUAAGACAUACCUGUAAAUUGAAUCUAUGUGAAUUAUAUUCCACUGUAUGUGUAUUAUAGUUCUUUUCCUAUUAGAGCAACUUGUGUUUCCCUGAUAAUGUGUACAUUUUUUGGGUAUGUACUUAAUAGUUCACAAUGUUCUAAAUUUGGAAGGACUUAAAAAAAAACUUGUUUUAAUUUCCAUCUGUUUUGUAAUAUCUAGCUCUAUAUGUAAAUGAUGGGUUUGUUGGUAUUUAAAAUGAAUACAACUUGAAUGUAAUUAAAAUGCUGUUUUUGGAAGUGAUAAACUUUAUACUUAUUAAAAUGGAAUUCUAUUAAG